rnacentral:rRNA from 1 species
UACGAGGGGGGCGAGCGUUGUCCGGAAUUAUUGGGCGUAAAGAGCUCGUAGGCGGUUUGUCGCGUCUGCUGUGAAAACCUAAGGCUCAACCUUGGGCUUGCAGUGGGUACGGGCAGACUAGAGUGCGGUAGGGGUGACUGGAAUUCCUGGUGUAGCGGUGGAAUGCGCAGAUAUCAGGAGGAACACCGAUGGCGAAGGCAGGUCACUGGGCCGCAACUGACGCUGAGGAGCGAAAGCAUGGGGAGCGAACAGG